AUUGAACGCUGGCGGCAGGCCUAACACAUGCAAGUCGAGCGGAUGAAGGGAGCUUGCUCCUGGAUUCAGCGGCGGACGGGUGAGUAAUGCCUAGGAAUCUGCCUGGUAGUGGGGGAUAACGUCCGGAAACGGGCGCUAAUACCGCAUACGUCCUGAGGGAGAAAGUGGGGGAUCUUCGGACCUCACGCUAUCAGCUGAGCCUAGGUCGGAUUAGCUAGUUGGUGGGGUAAAGGCCUACCAAGGCGACGAUCCGUAACUGGUCUUAGAGGAUGAUCAGUCACACUGGAACUGAGACACGGUCCAGACUCCUACGGGAGGCAGCAGUGGGGAAUAUUGGACAAUGGGCGAAAGCCUGAUCCAGCCAUGCCGCGUGUGUGAAGAAGGUCUUCGGAUUGUAAAGCACUUUAAGUUGGGAGGAAGGGCAGUAAGUUAAUACCUGGCUGUUUUGACGUUACCAACAGAAUAAGCACCGGCUAACUUCGUG
rnacentral:rRNA from 1 species